UACGUAGGGUGCAAGCGUUAAUCGGAAUUACUGGGCGUAAAGCGUGCGCAGGCGGUUAUGUAAGACAGGUGUGAAAUCCCCGGGCUUAACCUGGGAACUGCAUCUGUGACUGCAUAGCUAGAGUACGGUAGAGGGGGAUGGAAUUCCGCGUGUAGCAGUGAAAUGCGUAGAUAUGCGGAGGAACACCGAUGGCGAAGGCAAUCCCCCUGGACCUGUACUGACGCUCAUGCACGAAAGCGUGGGGAGCAAACAGG
rnacentral:rRNA from 1 species